rnacentral:tRNA from 1 species
GCGCAGAUAGUUCAAUGGCAGAAUUAUCGUUAUUCCAAACGAUCGACGACGGUUCGAUUCCGAUCUCUGCGCUCCA